rnacentral:rRNA from 1 species
AGUGAACGCUGGCGGUAGGCCUAACACAUGCAAGUCGAACGGCAGCACAGUAAGAGCUUGCUCUUACGGGUGGCGAGUGGCGGACGGGUGAGGAAUACAUCGGAGUCUACUUUUUCGUGGGGGAUAACGUAGGGAAACUUACGCUAAUACCGCAUACGACCUACGGGUGAAAGCAGGGGAUCUUCGGACCUUGCGCGAUUGAAUGAGCCGAUGUCGGAUUAGCUAGUUGGCGGGGUAAAGGCCCACCAAGGCGACGAUCCGUAGCUGGUCUGAGAGGAUGAUCAGCCACACUGGAACUGAGACACGGUCCAGACUCCUACGGGAGGCAGCAGUGGGGAAUAUUGGACAAUGGGCGCAAGCCUGAUCCAGCCAUACCGCGUGGGUGAAGAAGGCCUUCGGGUUGUAAAGCCCUUUUGUUGGGAAAGAAAAGCAGCAGGUUAAUACCCCGCUGUUCUGACGGUACUCAAAGAAUAAGCACCGGCUAACUUCGUG